GGAGAGGUGGCAGAGUGGCUUAAUGCGCGGGUUUGCUAAAUCCGUGAGUCCUACAGGGCUCCGCAGGUUCAAAUCCUGUCCUCUCCG
rnacentral:tRNA from 1 species